rnacentral:rRNA from 1 species
AACUAACGCUGGCGGCGUGCCUAACACAUGCAAGUCGUACGAGAAAGUUGGCUUCGGCCGAUGAGUAAAGUGGCGCACGGGUGAGUAAUGCGUGGAUAAUCUGCCCUUUAGUUGGGAAUAACGUACCGAAAGGUGCGCUAAUACCUGAUAAUACUGCAUAACUACUGUUGUGUAGUCAAAGAAGGCCUCUGUUUACAAGCUUUUGCUGAAGGAUGAGUCCGCGUACCAUUAGCUGGUUGGUGGGGUAAUGGCCUACCAAGGCUACGAUGGUUAGCUGGUCUGAGAGGAUGAUCAGCCACACUGGAACUGAGACACGGUCCAGACUCCUACGGGAGGCAGCAGUGAGGAAUAUUGCGCAAUGGGGGCAACCCUGACGCAGCAACGCCGCGUGAGUGAGGAAGGUUUUCGGACCGUAAAGCUCUGUCGAGCGGGAAGAAAUGUAUCAUGGCUAAUAUCCAUGAUACUUGACGGUACCGCUAAAGGAAGAC